UUUCAAUUAGUAUAAAGGCUCAAGUCGGUUGGGUGGUAGUAUCAGUCAUUUGACAGAGUUCGUCAAGUAUCAAGAAAUCUUCGUCGUCGACAUGAAGUUCGCUACGUGUGUCGUUUUCGUCUUCUCUCUGGCGGUCGCCAUGGGGGCGUCCUAUUCUUCGGGGGAAUACACAAACGUCCUCGAUUGCAUCGUGGGAGCCGUUAAAGAGGCGGUGCAAUGUUUCCAAGACAAACCCAGCGCAAAAUGCGUCCUUGAUGCUAUCGACAGCAUCUCUGCGUGUCUCGGCAAAUAAUAGCGUUACUACGACCGCUGUUUGUAAUACAUAUUUACAUUAAUUCAUCCAGCUAUUGAUAUUAUACUUUGGCAGAAAAUCGUAUGUAUAAUUAAAUUAAAAUAUUAUAUGUGAGAA